AGAGUUUGAUCCUGGCUCAGGAUGAACGCUGGCGGCGUGCCUAAUACAUGCAAGUCGAGCGAACGGACGAGAAGCUUGCUUCUCUGAUGUUAGCGGCGGACGGGUGAGUAACACGUGGAUAACCUACCUAUAAGACUGGGAUAACUUCGGGAAACCGGAGCUAAUACCGGAUAAUAUUUUGAACCGCAUGGUUCAAAAGUGAAAGACGGUCUCGCUGUCACUUAUAGAUGGAUCCGCGCUGCAUUAGCUAGUUGGUAAGGUAACGGCUUACCAAGGCAACGAUGCAUAGCCGACCUGAGAGGGUGAUCGGCCACACUGGAACUGAGACACGGUCCAGACUCCUACGGGAGGCAGCAGUAGGGAAUCUUCCGCAAUGGGCGAAAGCCUGACGGAGCAACGCCGCGUGAGUGAUGAAGGUCUUCGGAUCGUAAAACUCUGUUAUUAGGGAAGAACAUAUGUGUAAGUAACUGUGCACAUCUUGACGGUACCUAAUCAGAAAGCCACGGCUAACUACGUGCCAGCAGCCGCGGUAAUACGUAGGUGGCAAGCGUUAUCCGGAAUUAUUGGGCGUAAAGCGCGCGUAGGCGGUUUUUUAAGUCUGAUGUGAAAGCCCACGGCUCAACCGUGGAGGGUCAUUGGAAACUGGAAAACUUGAGUGCAGAAGAGGAAAGUGGAAUUCCAUGUGUAGCGGUGAAAUGCGCAGAGAUAUGGAGGAACACCAGUGGCGAAGGCGACUUUCUGGUCUGUAACUGACGCUGAUGUGCGAAAGCGUGGGGAUCAAACAGGAUUAGAUACCCUGGUAGUCCACGCCGUAAACGAUGAGUGCUAAGUGUUAGGGGGUUUCCGCCCCUUAGUGCUGCAGCUAACGCAUUAAGCACUCCGCCUGGGGAGUACGACCGCAAGGUUGAAACUCAAAGGAAUUGACGGGGACCCGCACAAGCGGUGGAGCAUGUGGUUUAAUUCGAAGCAACGCGAAGAACCUUACCAAAUCUUGACAUCCUUUGACAACUCUAGAGAUAGAGC
rnacentral:rRNA from 1 species